rnacentral:misc_RNA from 1 species
AGCAGAAUCAACCAUAGGCAAACUAAGAUAAGAAAAAUAAGGUCCUCUACAGAAGCAUACAUAAUUCAUGACACUGAAUAAAUAUCAAACUCAGGACUCAGACAAAUUAGAGACUAGAGUAACAGUAACCAUCUCUAAAAGUGCUGCUCUCAUAACAUGAAAUUCUUGUUCAAAUACCAUCAAAAUCACGUCGACACAACAUGUAAGGCCUCACAGCUAACAUGUUAUGUCUGAUACGCGCAACCUGGACUGGUUGGGGGUUCUUCUAUUCAGAUAAUGUUGACUUCAAUUCACCCCCGCUAUGUAAUUCCAGCACGAUAUCACAUCCUCCUACAAGUUCGCCUUUGUAAUACAGCUGCGGAUAAGUUGGCCAGUUAGAGAAGGUCUUCAGUCCCUGCCUUACUUCUUCGUCGGAUAGAAUAUCAAAGGAUCCAAAAUCAACCCCUUCCUCCUUCAAGGCAUUUACCACCUUGGAGCUGAAACCACAUCUUGGAGAAUCUGGUGUACCCUUCAUGAAGAGCAUUACAGGUGAGGAAUUCAGUAGAUUCUUUAAACGGUCUUCAAGACUAACUUUCUGGUGUAUCCCCUUCUCAGUCAGAACCUUCCUAAACUCACCGCUCUUUUGCAUCUCCAGUACAAUGUCUGAUCCACCAAUAAGUUCACCCUUUAUGUACAGCUGUGGAUAACUAGACCAGUUGGAAUAAACUUUCAGUCCUUGACGGACUUCAUCAUCAGAAAGAAUGUCAAAAGUCUCAAACUCCACUUUCUCCUGUUUGAGAAUAUCCACCACCUUUCUGCUGAAUCCACACCGGGGUUCAUCAACUGUUCCUUUCAUAAACAGCAUAACUGGGCUAGAGUUUAUCAGACCUGCAAGACGAGUAGUCAAGGCAGUACUCAAGCCAGAUUGUUCAGAGAUGCCACCCUUCCCACCCGCAGUUUUAUUCGGUUUAGUUUCAAGAGAAUCAGAGACCCCAACCCCGUGAUCCUUGAAAACAUCUGUAAGUUCACCACUCUCAUGCAUAGUUAUAACAAUAUCACAACCACCAAGAAGUUCACCCUUGCAGUACAGUUGAGGAUAUGUUGGCCAAUUGGAAAAUUUCUUCAGACCCUCACGGACCUCACUGUCCAUCAGAAUAUCAAAACUUCCAAAUUUGACCUUCUCUUUCUUCAAGAUAUCAACGACUUUCUGACUAAAACCACACUUGGGUUCUUCUGGGGUCCCUUUCAUGAAAAGCAAUACUGGAUGAGAAGAAACCAGCUGCUGAAGUCGCUUUGUUAGCCGAUCAUCAAGACCAGAACUUGACACUUGAGGGGCACCGUUUUCUCUAGACAACUCCUGAAUUGCUUCAAGAACAGAGGGACCUGCAGCCAUUCCUAGGCUAGCAGGAGCGGCAGGAUCCCCAGGAGUGAUUGACCCAGCAAUUUUUGCAACCUUGUUAGCCAAACUAGAUGGAUCGGCCCCUUCCAAUGUAUCAACAGCUUUCCCUUCCUUGAAGAAGACAAAGUAAGGUACAGCAGAAACAGAGUGCAGCUCAGAUAUCUCAGGCUGUUCUUCAGCUUCAACUCUUAGAAAAUGGGCAUGUGGGAAAUCAGUAGAAAGAUGCGAAAAGACUUGGUCCAUGUGCUUAGAAGCUUCACACCAUGAUGCCCAAAAGUGCAAAAUCGCCGGUGAUCCGUCGGCGACAAUCUUAUCAAGCUCCGCCUUCGAUUGAACUUCCUUCACUGAUCCUCCUCCGCCCAUUCUCGAUUCUU